rnacentral:rRNA from 1 species
UCUGGGACAAGCCCUGGAAACGGGGUCUAAUACCGGAUAUUGACCACCGCAGGCAUCUGUGGUGGUGGAAAGCUCCGGCGGUGCAGGAUGAGCCCGCGGCCUAUCAGCUAGUUGGUGAGGUAAUGGCUCACCAAGGCGACGACGGGUAGCCGGCCUGAGAGGGCGACCGGCCACACUGGGACUGAGACACGGCCCAGACUCCUACGGGAGGCAGCAGUGGGGAAUAUUGCACAAUGGGCGAAAGCCUGAUGCAGCGACGCCGCGUGAGGGAUGACGGCCUUCGGGUUGUAAACCUCUUUCAGCAGGGAAGAAGCGAAAGUGACGGUACCUGCAGAAGAAGCGCCGGCUAACUACGUGCCAGCAGCCGCGGUAAUACGUAGGGCGCGAGCGUUGUCCGGAAUUAUUGGGCGUAAAGAGCUCGUAGGCGGCUUGUCACGUCGGUUGUGAAAGCCCGGGGCUUAACCCCGGGUCUGCAGUCGAUACGGGCAGGCUAGAGUUCGGUAGGGGAGAUCGGAAUUCCUGGUGUAGCGGUGAAAUGCGCAGAUAUCAGGAGGAACACCGGUGGCGAAGGCGGAUCUCUGGGCCGAUACUGACGCUGAGGAGCGAAAGCGUGGGGAGCGAACAGGAUUAGAUACCCUGGUAGUCCACGCCGUAAACGGUGGGCACUAGGUGUGGGCAACAUUCCACGUUGUCCGUGCCGCAGCUAACGCAUUAAGUGCCCCGCCUGG